UACGUAGGGUGCAAGCGUUGUCCGGAAUUAUUGGGCGUAAAGAGCUCGUAGGCGGUCUGUCGCGUCUGCUGUGAAAACUCGGGGCUUAACCCCGGGCCUGCAGUGGGUACGGGCAGACUAGAGUGCGGUAGGGGAGACUGGAAUUCCUGGUGUAGCGGUGAAAUGCGCAGAUAUCAGGAAGAACACCCGUGGCUAAGGCGGUUCUCUAGUACGGUACUGACGCUGAGACGCGAAAGCGUGGGGAGCGAACAGG
rnacentral:rRNA from 1 species